CUUCUAGUUUGAAUGUGGAGAUGUGUAAUAAAAGCUGUGAUUCACCUCGAUCAGUUAAUAGCAGUAAUAGCUUUCCAGAUUGUUCUAUAAUGAAACCACUAACCAGGUUUCAUGACUUGUUAAAUGAGCUAAAAGACAUUCAUGCAAUUGAAGAACGUAUAUUUGAAGAAACUACUAAGAUUCAGGAAUUACGGGAUCAGGAGCACAAACAAGCUGUGAAGGAACAGGAUUCUGCUUUCAAACGAUGUAAAGAGAGAAUACUAUUUCUAACCAUGCUCCAAAGAGAACGCAACCAAGUUGAGGAGUUGGAACAGAGUUUAGCUAAAG